rnacentral:lncRNA from 1 species
CAGAAAUCCAAGAACUCUUGCCAUGUCAUCUGUACUGUCAAGGUCAAAGCUUUAUGCUCCUCAAUACUUCUCUCACUUCAUUGCUAAGACAUCGCAACAGAAGGCCUUCAGCUCCCGACAUAUUGGAUCUACUGAGCAUCCCACCAUCAUCUGCCCUUGCAGUUUUUGCCAUCCUCCCAGGACACUCUCCUAUUUCACUGAAGACUGUGGUGCCUUCCAGAUGACAGAAUUCCCAACAACCCUUUCCUGUCAUCAUUCCUGGUGACUUUGGUGAUUUUGACAUUUCCAUCAGGAACCCCUUUAUACAAGGGAAUCUAGAAUGUUUACUGUUUCUAAUAUCUGGAUAAAGGUGCUAGGGUUUGGGUCUUGAAUGUAAACCUCUGUGGGUCCAUGUGUUGGAGACCUAUCUCCAGAGUGGUGCUAGUGGAAGGGGGUAGAAUUUUUAGAUGCAGGGUGGGAGGUUUUAAGAUCAUUGAAGGUG